rnacentral:rRNA from 1 species
GAUGAACGCUGGCGGCGUGCCUAAUACAUGCAAGUCGAGCGAACGGACGAGAAGCUUGCUUCUCUGAUGUUAGCGGCGGACGGGUGAGUAACACGUGGAUAACCUACCUAUAAGACUGGGAUAACUUCGGGAAACCGGAGCUAAUACCGGAUAAUAUUUUGAACCGCAUGGUUCAAAAGUGAAAGACGGUCUUGCUGUCACUUAUAGAUGGAUCCGCGCUGCAUUAGCUAGUUGGUAAGGUAACGGCUUACCAAGGCAACGAUGCAUAGCCGACCUGUGAGGGUGAUCGGCCACACUGGAAGUGAGACACGGUCCAGACUCCUACGGGAGGCAGCAGUAGGGAAUCUUCCGCAAUGGGCGAAAGCCUGACGGAGCAACGCCGCGUGAGUGAUGAAGGUCUUCGGAGCGUAAAACUCUGUUAUUAGGGAAGAACAUAUGUGUAAGUAACUGUGCACAUCUUGACGGUACCUAAUCAGAAAGCCACGGCUAACUACGUG